rnacentral:rRNA from 1 species
GAUGUAACGCUGGCGGCGUGCCUAACACAUGCAAGUCGAACGGGGUGAUUUUCUUCGGAGGAUCACUUAGUGGCGAACGGGUGAGUAACGCGUGAGAAACCUGCCUUUCAGUGGGGGACAACAGUUGGAAACGACUGCUAAUACCGCAUAAUGUCAUUUGGGGGCAUCCUCGAAUGACCAAAGCUUAAUGUGCUGAAAGAUGGUCUCGCGUCUGAUUAGCUGGAUGGCGGGGUAACGGCCCACCAUGGCGACGAUCAGUAGCCGGUCUGAGAGGAUGAACGGCCACAUUGGGACUGAGAUACGGCCCAG